UUUCUUCAAGCAAAUACAUUUAAGGAGAUUUGAUGCUUUAAAAAAAAAAAAUCACAUGAAGGUAAACGGAAUAACUUUGGAUAAUCGGAUUCUGAAUAUGUCACCUCAGGCUGUGGGAAAUUUAAAUGGACCCUUUUCACUACCCACUUUCUUCCUAUGUACAAAAACAAAUCGAUUGAGAGCAAUUGUUGUGGUAUAACAUUACCACUACAACCAAUAUUCAUAGGAUAUUAUUUUUUUUUUAAAGUGACGAAUAGGAACGACUAUUAUUCCGUCGAUCGGUUAAUCGGUAAAUAAGCCGAUCGCUGCAGCUCUUCACACCAAGACAUGAAGUCGCCUGUACGGUCCAGUUGUGGCCGCAUCGUUCACGUCAGGCUCCCCAUCAACUCAACCUGUGGCCGGACGGUGACCGAGGGGUCGUCGAAUGCUCCGAAGACCUCUCUCCAGCAAAUAACCAAGCCGAGGAACUGUUCGCUGUGAAGGGAGCACUAUUUGGCAGGAAGCGUUGCCCGAAUGGGGCCUACUGCGCGUGCGCGACAUGUCCCAUUCUACCCUGGCCGAGUCGUUUGUGUGGCGCGACAGGUGUGGCGGCCACAGGUGAGGAGAGGAGAGGAGAACACCGCAAACAUUUGUUAUUUGAACAGAUGAACCCGCUUGUUGAAUGUCGCCUUUGGUCCACACUGUCACGUCUGAUAUAAACAUGUCUUUGUCUGGCUGCAGGCUGGCUGAGUAAGACUACACAAAAGAAAAACAGGAACUGAAUCAGAGAAUAUUGCAGUAGUGGUAAGUAUUUUCUUUCUUUUUUUAAACCAUUUUGUAAUCUAUCAAAAUAGUAGAUUUAUUAGUUAUAGCUCUGAACUGUUUUAUUGAAAUCAUUCCA